UGCAUCCAACAUUCCCUUAUAUCUGCAGCCAUGUUAUAACAGAGAAUUGCUUGCAUAGUCGAACACCAUCACAAACAUCAAUUUACAGCAACUCACUCCCACCCAUCAUCUGGAGAAAUCAACUUAUUUUCAUAAGAGGUCAAGCGCGAGAGUAAGAACUACACAAGGAGUUAGAGUACCUUAGCAAAACUUUGCUAUCAGGUUGAGCUGUGAUGGGCGAUGAAGUGUUGUUGCUGAGUGGAGUUUUUGUUGAACUUAAAGUAGGCUCAGAAAGGAUACAUGUCUUCAUACAUGUAUCUCAGUUAUGCAUUCCGCUGUAAACACUGAUUAUUUCAGUUACACCUUCCGUUGCAAACUCUGAUAAUGUUUUAGCCAAGCCCCUAACGAUGCCUUUUUCCUUUUAAGGAAUAUAACGCUUAUACAAGUUCGUUGAGUACCCUUUUUAUGCGAACUAUGCCUUUUUCCUUUUUAAGGAAUAUUUCACGCGUA